GGAGAGAUACCCGAAGCGGCCUAACGGGAGCUGGGCUCUGCUCCAGCUUGGGGUCUGACCCCUCGCAGGUUCAAAUCCUGCUCUCUCCGCCA
rnacentral:tRNA from 1 species